AACGAACGCUGGCGGCGUGGAUAAGACAUGCAAGUCGAACGCUGAUUUCAAGGUAGCAAUAUUUUGGAGUCGGAGUGGCGCAAGGGUGCGUAACACGUGGGUAAUCUACCGCGAAGACCGGGAUAACUCGCUGAAAGGCGAGCUAAUACCGGAUGUGGUUGCUGGGGGGCAUCUCCCGUCAACUGAAGUUGGGGACCGUAAGGCCUGACACUUCGCGAUGAGCCCGCGGCCUANCAGCUAGUUGGUGAGGUAAUGGCUCACCAAGGCUAAGACGGGUAGCUGGUCUGAGAGGACGACCAGCCUCACUGGAACUGAGACACGGUCCAGACACCUACGGGUGGCAGCAGUCGAGAAUUUUUUCACAAUGGGCGAAAGCCUGAUGGAGCGACGCCGCGUGGGGGAUGAAUGGCUUCGGCCCGUAAACCCCUGUCAUUUGCGAACAAACCCUGCGAUUU
rnacentral:rRNA from 1 species